GACGAACGCUGGCGGCGUGCUUAACACAUGCAAGUCGAACGGUGAAGCGCCUUCCUUUUUGGUGGGUGUGGAUGAGUGGCGAACGGGUGAGUAACACGUGAGUAACCUGCCCCCUUCUUCUGGAUAACCGCAUGAAAGUGUGGCUAAUACGGGAUAUUCUGGGUCUGUCGCAUGAUGGGUCUGGGAAAGAUAUUGUUUCGGUGGGGGAUGGGCUCGCGGCCUAUCAGCUUGUUGGUGGGGUGAUGGCCUACCAAGGCGGUGACGGGUAGCCGGCCUGGGAGGGUGGACGGUCACACUGGGACUGCGACACGGCCCAGACUCCUACGGGAGGCAGCAGUGGGGAAUAUGGCACAAUGGGCGCAAGCCUGAUGCAGCGACGCCGCGUGAGGGAUGGAGGCCUUCGGGUUGUGAACCUCUUUCGCCAGUGAAGCAGGCCUGCCUCGUUUGUGGGUGGGUUGACGGUAGCUGGAUAAGAAGCGCCGGCUAACUACGUG
rnacentral:rRNA from 1 species